UUAUGACAAGUAGCCUAUACAGCAUAUCCUGUCUACAGGCUUCCGUAAUGUUUCUCUGUCUCUGUGUUCAUUGUGGCUUUUUUUUUGUACUCUGUUCUACAGUAUGAAGUUAUAUGAUUACAGGAAAACAGGGGUUGUUCAUUUUCAUCCGUAGUUGACACUGAACGAGAACAAUCUACAGAAUCAUGUGCAAAUUUCCCCUUUGGUGUUCUAUAGUAUUGCUGUUAUUCCCAGUCCCUGCAAAUGCCAGGGUGUGGAUGAACCAGUGGUCCUCAAAGAAUGCUUACAUAGUAGGGGAAACAGCUGCUCUUAAUUGCAACAUAACCUCAGAUCAUGAGGAAAUAAGAAAUUGCAAAAUGAGAUGGAUCAUUGAAGAUCAAGGUGAUGUCACAAGUUUGGAGUUGUAUACGCAUCGUGUAAACAUGAAUUGGAGCAAAACAGCUACUACUAUGACAUUGAGAAACCUGACCUUGAGUGACACCAUUAUGCCAAUUUGCAUCGCAAAGUGCAUCAUUGACAGUGUCAACAGCAAGGUUUAUGGGGAGGGUGGCACACACAUUUUUGAAGACAUCAACCAGAUGACCCUGGUCUCAAAGUUGACAACACUGGUCCCAGAGUUGACAACACUGGUCCCAAAGGAAAUCAAACAGGAACAUGCUCUCACUUGGCCGAACCAUGUUUUUCUCAGCAUAAACAUCCUGAUUUUCAUUGUGGCCACAAUUAUUUGUGUGUCAUACAUCAGAACCCAAAUGAAUAUGAAUUAAAAAGGGAUUGCAUUAGUUGUUAAAAUAUUGCCUGAAGCACCCUUCCAAGUUAUAGCCUAAAGCCUAUGCUCUAACACCUUUAGUAAACUGUAAACUGUGAUUUGAAAUGUUAUUACUCUAAUGUAUAGAAUGUAUGCCUACUGAUAUAGUUUUUACUGUCUUGUAUUAUUAUCUGAAAACAAACUAGGUAAAGGUGAAAGGUGACAAGCAUCUGGUAAAUGCAUUCCAGAUUAGAGUGAGCAAAAGACUACAUUUGAUUUACUUUCCUUUAGUAUCCAUGUGGACAUUUUGAAUACAGUUGACAUAUAUUAAUUUAAUCGUGUAUCCUAAUCAUAAUCAUUGCUAUUGAUAGAAUAUAGAUUAAAGUUGAUAAAGUUUAGACUAUUUUUCACGUCUGCUCCUGCUCUUCCCCCCCCAGGUGCUUGAGGGUGCCAGGCUGCCCUGCAUCACUCACUCCUAUCAUCCACUACGCACACCUGCCUUUCCUUGUCAAGUGCUUCAGCUAUAUUGGACUCACUUAUCUGUUUAUUACCUCGCCUAUAUUUGUCAGUUUCCCUGCUGAUGCAUUGAUUGUUUUUUGUCUGUAUUAUUAGUUUACUGAUGCUGUUCCUGUCUCAUGUCCGUUCUUUAUUAAAUGUUUGACUCCCCGUA